UUUUUUAUGGUGUAUGGGUAGCACGCUGGUUUUUCGUGCCAGAGGAGGAAAUAUUUCCUGA
rnacentral:tRNA from 1 species